ensembl:snoRNA Gm23593 predicted gene, 23593
GCACUCUUUCUAGGUUGACACAAUCCUGUAAGUGACAAACACACAGAAGGGUAAAGGAAGUUUCCAUAAAACCCAAAAAGAUACUGUAAACCUUCUCUUUGGACCCUUUCUGGAGCCACAGCU